rnacentral:rRNA from 1 species
UACGAAGGGGGCUAGCGUUGCUCGGAAUCACUGGGCGUAAAGCGCACGUAGGCGGCUUCUUAAGUCAGGGGUGAAAUCCUGGAGCUCAACUCCAGAACUGCCUUUGAUACUGAGAGGCUUGAGUCCGGGAGAGGUGAGUGGAACUGCGAGUGUAGAGGUGAAAUUCGUAGAUAUUCGCAAGAACACCAGUGGCGAAGGCGGCUCACUGGCCCGGUACUGACGCUGAGGCACGAAAGCGUGGGAGCAAACAGG